rnacentral:lncRNA from 1 species
UUGACGGAUAAGUCCAUUAGUACAUGAUACAAUUAAGAUGUCACACAAAUUAGAAAAAUAAUUCAAAAUAAGAUCUAGUAGGUACAAAAUUGGUAAAUACAUAACAAACAAUAAUAAAGAAUAAACUUACUUGCUCUCAUUCAACAAUUGAGAGCUAGAACAUUUUGAAAUUGACAAA